AUUUGGAAUCCUUACUAAAAUAAUUGAGGAGGGCUCUGCUCGCAAAUUAUUCUCAAGAUAUAUAAAUUAGGGAAUUUUCCCCCUGUAAAUGGAGUUUGCAAAAAGUCAAAAACAGACUACUUGGAAAGUUUAUUAAAAAGCACAUUUUAAAUCAUGUCCAACUUUUACUUGGUAGCAUGUUAAAUAACAUGCUGCCAAUAUUGCUAAGGUUAAUGUUGUGGCAUGCUUUUUGUUCACAGUUGGCAGGUAUGGGACACUGUGGCUGACUUUGCUUUGGUAAAGUAUAGGGGUCAUAUCAAGUGAACUUGAAGAGGUACGCCAAAAUGCUAACCUUUAUAGAAACAUUUUCUUCCAGAAAGCUGAUCAUGUGUGGUGAAAUCUUCUUUUCUAUUCGCUGAGGAGAUGACUAUACAAGCAGGGACUGGGGUCAUGCACAAGGUUUGGUAAUGUAUCGGUUAUAAGAUCACACAAGCGCAAGUGGAAUACGAGUAAAACGUAGCGCUUCUGCGUUCCAUAUCCAACCAGGCUGAAGGCUGAGUUGGGUAUGGGAUGCAAUUGCGUUAUAUUUUCCUGUAUUUUAUGAACACGGCAGGACACAAAGGAUUGAAUUAUUAUUUUUUAAAUAAAAAAAAUAAUCAUUCUCAACUUCUACUUUUGCGUUUAGCUUAUAAAGCUCAAUACACGGAGAGAAUAUACAAGAAGCAGGAUGUGAUAAUAAGGGCCGUGCCAACACGGAUGUCACACUCCUUGUUGCUAUGGAUUGACCAAUCAGAAUCAAAUAUUCAAGCCUGCAUGAAGAUAGAAGUUAUUAAUUCAUAAUAAAAGUUGAUAACUUUGGAAGGAAGAACAAAACAUUCAUGAAUAUCUCAAAUCAAUCUUGAAUAGUAAAGAUAGUUCUAACCAGCAGUCUAAUCAUUUGCAAUUCUGCAACAGCUCAAGCAUGAUUGACCAGUCUAUCACCAAGAUUAACUUAAGAAGUAGUUAUGACUUGCUUGAACAAAUUGAAAUCCUUUCUGAUACAAUAGAAGUCGGCUAUUCUUGCAAUUCAUAACAAAGAUAUGUUAAUGAGAGAUCAAAUUUUUCUGUGCCUGCUUAAUUGUCCCUCAGUUCAGCAGUUUCUUGUGGAGUGAUGACUACAACUGAAUCUGUUUGGAUGAGCAUCAUUGGAGAAACCAAGUGCAAAGAAGUAGAAACAGUCUGCCAGAUUAAGACGAUGACCUUGGAGAUGAUUUACAUCCAAUCUUGAGGUGAAGAUUGGACUGUGUGCCACUGUGAUUCAUCAGAUGUUCAACAAACCAUCCACCCUUACACCUUCUGUAGGCCUAUGAAGAAAUCUUGUGAGAGGACCAUCUCAGAGGCCAUGUUCAAAUAUUAGGCUGCAGAUUUUGAUUGAGACGAUGACCUUGGGAGAUGUCAUACGUACAGUCUUGAGGCUAACCGAUGCUUUUUGGACUGUGUGCCACCAACUGAAAAAGAGAUGUGUCAAUUCAAGCCAGAAAACUCUACAAGUUCAAGUGAUAAGGAUGCUGUGACUAACUGCUGGUAAUGCUCUUGGACUGAGUCUAGCCACCAGCUGAAGAAGGAUGCCCCUUACUCUAGGCCUGGGAGUUAUUUCUGGUCCAAACUUGCUGCUGGGGCUAUGGGAAGACAGAUGAUGACCUUGAUAACACAUCCAAUCUUGAGCCCAAUCAACGAUUCUUUGACUGCGCACCACCUUUAAGAAAGAUUGUCAAGCCUAGCCAGAUGACUCUGCUACUAGUCAAGAUGUUGAGGCAACCAACACCUUUUGGACUGUGCCACCAAGGACUUUGUCAAUUAUCUAGCCAGAUUGCUCUGCUACAAAGUAACCAGUCAAGAUUUUGAGGCAACCACUACUUUUAGGACUGUGUGCCACCAACUCAAUGAUCAUGUCAAUAUAUCUAGCCAGAUAACUCCAUUACCUUAAGGUUCAAGUGACAUUUGGAUGCCGGGGAACGCUU